UUAUCGAGUGAUUAUUCUGGCUGAGAUGAGCUAUUUGGGUUCUGCUUCUUGAUCAUUUGGUGUUUAAGUAAAAUGAGGGGCACAGAAUUGUUGCAGAGUCGAGUGGGAACAGCAUUUUGAUUUGCUGACCUAAUUUUUAAAAUGAUAAAGGAUUAAAAGGGAAAGCUGGACCUGGACCUGCCGUGAAGGGUAUAAACCUGGACAUACCUGGGGCUGGAAAAAGAAGAGGAAGACAAGAAGGGGUUUUUGGUUUUGGGUUUGUUUUUUUUUUUAAGAAAAAGCCCAACGGAGAUAAACGAAUGUCCCCUUUUCUUCCAAGGAAAGUUCAUCGGAUUUUUAUUCUAGAGAUUUCAUCUUCAGGAUGUCAGUGAACAUUACCAGUACAGGAAAAGGUGUGGAUCCAAGCACGGUUGAUACUUAUGACAGUGGCGAUGAUUGGGAAAUUGGGGUUGGGAAUUUAAUAAUUGAUUUGGACGCUGAUUUGGAGAAGGACAGACAGAAAUUUGAGAUGAAUAAUUCCACUAGCACCACUAGCAGCAGCAGCAGCUCCAAGGAUUGUGGGGGUUUGGCUUCCAGUGCGGCUAGUGCUACCUCAUCCUUAGCUGAUGGCCUAAAAUUUGCUUCUGUUCAGCCCUCUGCUCCCCAGGGGAACUCACACAAAGAGACCAGCAAAUCAAAAGUGAAAAGGAGUAAAACUUCUAAGGAUGCUAAUAAAUCUCUGCCUUCUGCUGCCUUGUAUGGGAUUCCCGAGAUCAGCAGUGCUGGCAAGAGGCAGGAAGGCCAAGGGCGCCCUGGAGAGGCAACUGGCAUGAAUUCAGCACUGGGUCAAAGUGGCAACCCGAACAGCAAUACCCUCUGCACCAGCACCAGUACUGCCACCCCCGGGGCAGUUUCUUGUGGGAAAAACAAAGAGGAGAAACCAGGGAAAAACCCAAGCAGCCGAGGCUCCAAGAGGGAUAAGGAUGCAGGGAAAUCCAGGAAGGACAAGCAUGAGUUGCUCCAAGCUCAUGCCAACGGCAGUGGCAGCCAGGCACCUUCCGGGGGUCAUCUGUAUGGCUUCGGAAGCAAAGGCGGCACCGGGAAUCCCUUCCCCUGUGGAGGCCCAGGGGGCAGCGCAUCGGCCCCCGGAGGGGAGGGGAGCAAAGGAGGUGCCCCGGAUCCAGGGCUCAUGGGGAACUCUAUUUUGGUAAAGAAAGAAGACGAGGAAGAGGACAGCCACAGGCGAAUCAAGAAACUGAAAACUGAAAAGGCUGACCCCCUGUUUACAGUGCCGGCACCACCUCCACCAAUUUCCAGCACUAUCACGCCUCAGAUUCUACCUUCCUACUUUGCCCCAUCUUCAUCCAAUAUUGCAGCGCCAGUUGAGCAGCUCUUGGUACGGAGCCGUUCCGUGGCUGUCAAUACAUGUGACGUUGGAGUAGUAACCGAACCUGAAUGCCUUGGACCGUGUGAGCCUGGGACCAGUGUGAAUUUGGAGGGGAUCGUGUGGCAUGAGACCGAAGAAGGUGUCUUAGUGGUAAAUGUCACAUGGCGGAAUAAGACUUAUGUUGGGACGCUGCUGGAUUGCACGAAGCAUGAUUGGGCCCCUCCAAGGUUCUGCGAGUCACCAACAAGCGACCUGGAAAUGCGAGGAGGCCGAGGCCGAGGCAAGCGGGCCAGGUCUGCCGCGGCCACCCCCGGCAAUGAUGCUGGCUUUGCCGAAUCCAGGGGCCUGCAGAGCAAGAACCGCGGUGCAGCCAAUGGGAAAGGGCGACGGGGCAACCUGAACUCUAGUGGACGCAGGACCCCCCCUAAUUGUGCCGGAGAGGAGGUCAAGGCUAGCCCUUCAGCAGCCAACAAAAGGAAAAACAAGCCUCCGGCUGAGCUGGAUUUAAACUCCAGUUCCGAGGACACUAAGUCGGGGAAGCGUGUGCGUACUAACUCGCGGAGCACUCCAACCACCCCCCAGGGGAAACCUGAGACGACUUUCUUGGACCAAGGCUGCUCUUCGCCAGUGCUGAUUGAUUGUCCUCACCCAAACUGCAACAAAAAGUACAAGCACAUUAAUGGACUGAGGUACCACCAGGCCCACGCACACUUGGACCUGGAGAACAAGCUGGAGUUUGAGCCAGACAGUGAGGAAAAGAUUUCUGACUGCGAGGAAGCCUUAAGUAACGUGGCACUUGAAUGCAACGAGGCAAGCACAAGCUUAUCGACAUUUGAUCAGCUGAAAGCACCCCCAUCCCCAAGCCCCGGGAACCCCCCUGGAACGCCCAAGGGUAAAAGGGAGCAGACUAACAGUGGCCCCGGUUCAGUGAUCAGUUCCAAAGCGGGCAAGAACUCGGGCAAGAAGAAGGGCGUGCACCAUGAGCUGAGCAGCCUCCCAGUGAUUGCCAACAUGGCCACCCCGCUGGACAGUUGCUCGGGAGCUGACGGCAACCUGAUGGCCGAAAUGCCAAAACUGGAAGCAGAAGGAUUGAUUGAUAAGAAAGGUUUGGCCGAGAAAGACAAGGGCAAAAAGGGCGGCAAUUGCAAGGUGGACCGAAACCUUUCCAAACUUAAACCUGCCAGGCCCAUAGCCCCAGCCCCCGCCCCAACCCCUCCCCACUUAAUAGCUAUUCCUACUGCAGCCUUCACCGGCACCACCGCAGGGACCAUCCCUGGGCUGCCCUCCCUCACAACAACUGUUGUUCAGGCCACACCAAAGAGCCCUCCAUUAAAGCCUAUUCAACCAAAGCCCACCAUUAUGGGAGAGCCAAGCACUGUAAACCCAGCUCUCACGUCACUCAAAGACAAAAAGAAAAAGGAGAAGAGAAAGCUAAAAGACAAAGAAAGUAAGGAGACAGGAAGUCCCAAAAUGGACACCAAGCUGGGAAAGCUAGAGGACUCAAAAGGGCCCGGGAAGGAGUUAGCUGGACAUUUUUUAAAGGAUCAUCUCAACAAGACGGAAGCGCUGGCUAAUGGGCUCUCUGAGUCUCAGGAGAGCAGGAUGGCAAGUAUUAAAGCCGAAGCGGACAAGGUGUAUACAUUCACAGACAACGCCCCCAGUCCUUCGAUAGGGAGUGCUUCGCGGAUAGAGAGCAGCCCUCUGGUGAACGGACAGUCUCCGAUGGCCCCGUUGCAUGUGUUGACCCAAAAUGGCGCUGAGGGUUCGGCCGCUAAAACCAACAGUCCGGCGUAUUCUGACAUAUCUGAUGCUGCUGACGAUGGGGGUUCUGACAGUCGGUCAGAGGGCAUGAGGUCAAAGGCCAGUUCUCCUUCAGAUAUUAUUUCCAGCAAGGACAGUGUGGUGAAGGGGAAUUCGUCAACCUCAGCACAAUCGUCCCAGGGGAAGGAGCCCCAUUCCCCCUAUUACCAUGGCUACGAUCCUUAUUAUUCUCCAAGUUACAUGCACUCCGGACAGGUCAGCACCCCUGCGGCUGGGAACUGUGCCACCGCACAGGGAAUGAAGAUCAAAAAGGAAUCUGAGGAAGAAACCGAAAAGAAAGACAAGGCAGAGCCAUCCGAUUCCAAGAAGACCGAAAACAAUUCCACCAAUUUACAGCCCCAGCACCAGUCAGUAAUCACUCAAAGACAUCCUGCACUCACUCAGUCACUUUAUUAUGGACAGUAUGCCUAUGGGCUCUACAUGGAUCAAAAAUCCUUAAUGGCUUCAAACCCUGCUUAUAGGCAGCAAUAUGAGAAAUAUUAUGAGGACCAGAGGCUGGCUGAACAGAAAAUGGCUCACACUGGGAGAGAAGGUGAAAGAAAGAGUGAGCUCCCCUUGAAAGAGCUGAGCAAAGAGGAUAAUAAACAGAAAAACAUCCCAUCAGCCACCAUUUCAAAGCCUCCUUCUACUCCAGAGCCAAACAAAAAUAACACUAAAGUAGGGGCUUCGAUGCCGAGCAAGACUGAGGAGACAAGCAAAUCACAGAUCCUCUCCAGUCACCAGCAGCAACUUCAGGCUGACAGUUUCAAAGCUAAGCAAAUGGAAAACCAUCAGCUCAUUAAGGAGGCCGUAGAAAUGAAAUCUGUCAUGGAUUCCAUGAAGCAGACGGGUGUAGACCCCACUACCAGAUUUAAACAACAGGAUCCAGAUUCGAGGACAUGGCACCAUUACGUCUACCAGCCCAAGUAUCUGGAACAGCAAAAGUCAGAGGAACUUGAUCGUGAGAAAAAGCUAAAAGAAGACAGCCCCAGGAAAACCCCUACUAAGGAGAGUGCCCUGUCCAGCCUUCCGGUGUCAUUAAUGAGCAUCAAAGAGGAGCCCAAAGAAGUCAAGCGCCCUGAUUCCCAAUCAGUGGAGGAGAGCAAGAUCAAAAAUGAUGAUCGGAAGACUCCUGUAAACUGGAAGGAUUCCCGGGGAGCCAGGGUGGCUGUUUCAUCCCCGAUGAGUCAGCAUCAGUCAUACAUCCAAUACUUGCAUGCUUAUCCAUAUCCUCAGAUGUAUGAUCCCAGUCAUCCGGCCUACCGGGCUGUUUCUCCUGUCCUGAUGCACAGCUACCCUGGGGCCUAUCUCUCCCCAGGAUUUCAUUAUCCUGUUUAUGGGAAGAUGUCAGGGAGAGAAGAGGCGGAAAAAGUCAAUACCAGUCCUAGCAUCCCCGCGAAAACCACCACUGAAUCUAAAGCACUAGAUUUGCUCCAGCAGCAUGCCAACCAGUACCGCAGCAAGUCCCCCGCUCCUGUCGAAAAGGCUGCAGUUGAUCGUGAGCGGGAAGCAGAGCGGGAGCGAGAUCGGCACUCCCCCUUCAGCCAAAGGCACCUCCACACACACCACCACACCCACGUUGGAAUGGGCUACCCACUAAUCCCGGGCCAAUAUGACCCCUUUCAAGGGCUGACCUCUGCUGCCCUCGUCGCCACUCAGCAGGUGGCUGCUCAGGCAUCUGCAACUGGUAUGUUUCCUGCACAGAGAAGGGAGUCUGAACAGUAUAAGCAUGAAAGGCAAAGCAGAUACAAAGCUACAAUCAGAAUCCAGGAAUGAAGGAAAGGACUUAAGGAGCUGCACUGAGGGAGCCCAUUUUUGUGGCGUUUUGAAGCAGUUCCAGCAUUUUCGAUGCCUGAUGAAAAAUAUCCAUCCCAGUGGAUAGCAGAAAAAAGCAGACCUUUCCAGGAAUCGCCUUUGCUCAGCAUUUUCCCCUUGGAGGAUGAGAAAGAUGAGAAGAUAGGUUUGCAGAGUGGCAAACUCAGUCAACUGCUGCGGUUUGAGACUUUGUCUUCAGGCUCAGAAGACCUUGAAAAUCACCUAAUCUGAAGCCCUUGAUCCAAGGACUGCAGACCUACCUCCUGGAGGAGUGAAGUGACUUGUUCAGACUUUCCCACCCCCAGGAUACUUCACGUUGCCUCUCAACAGAAACACCAACGGAUGCAAACACUUCACUGCCCAGCAGUGCUGGGGAUGUAAGGGCAGCCAACAGUGAGUCUGGCCCAGGCCUACUGAAACAUGAAACUUGACAGGGGCGGUGGGGGAGGGAGAGGAUCAGGGAGGGAGUCAGUUGGGAUUUCAUCAACACACCAUUAAUAAUGCUGCCAUCAUUGUCAGAGUAAUAAUAAGCCCCCCCCCAACAAAACAACCAGAAACAAAAUCUCCAGCAGCUGGUAUUUUGAGAGACCUGGAUUUAUACUCUCUUGUAUAACAAUACUGAGACCCAUACUUUUCCCCGGAAGACUUCAAAGGCAGUGAGGCCUCGACUAGCAAACCCUAAAAGGUAGAAUGCCUCACAGUGCCCUGAAAUGCUUUUCCAACUUUGGCUGUUCAAGGGAAGCUACUGAGGAGAGUCACAGAAACUGUGACUGAGUUUGAAACAGUCAAUAAAUCAGAUGGACCAUUUGAGGAAGUUGCAGUCAUUUCCUGGGAAACAGCUUUUCUGCUUCUCCCAUAUCACUUAAAACAGGGUUCUUUGUCUUGGGGUUGAUGAGGAGGUUGAAAAGCAAUUCUCCAGCAAACUGCCAGAUAAAGCGAACUCAAUUCACGUUCCCUAAUGACAAGGUCAGGCACCACAUCAAGCUACUCUUAGAUUGGCUUAGAUGAAGAAAGGCUUGUAUCAAAAUAAAAAAGCCAUUGAAGUGUUUGGCUGAGUCACAUCCAGACACACCUGAGAUGCCUCGAUGAGAAUGAGUCCAGCUUCAAUGGGAACACUAGUGGCUUGCCAUUAUAUUUUCAUAAUGCCUUCUUAACAUCACUGAAUACAAUGGGAACUUUAAGGCCAACUGCAAUAACAGUUUCUCAUGAAAAAUUAACCAAGAAUUUAUGGAAAUGUGGGAAAAGUCCCAAAGCAAUUAGCUUUGAUUUCUCUGGAGUCUCCGAAAAGCUGGGAUAAUUGCCGGCAGAAACUGCAUAAAGUGACUAUUUUCAUCAUCGCGGGAUCUAGAAAGUCCAUUUCCAUCACAAUGGGAUCUAAUGGUGUUAAAACACACACGGAGAUAUGUUUAAAGAAGGGUAUGGCAUGGUUUACGAAAUGGCUGGAUUUAUGGGACUUUGGAGAUAUACACCUAAGAUGGCUCUUAAAGGGACCAUAGAGAUUUUACUUGACAUUUCAUCACUUCCCCCUCCACGAGAGGAGACUAGAUUGCUGUUUCUGGAAGCUAAUUAUACAUUACCACUAGGAUGCACAAAAAUGAAUUUCAUUUGUAUUAAAACUGAAAAGAGCUAGAUUGUACCACAAGCCGGCCCAUGAAUAGACAUUUUUGCAGUGCACUUUUAAAGCAGCCAUUAUAUAUGUUUAUAGGUACACUGAUGGAGUGAGCACUUCUGAUUGACUCAGAAACUGAGGCGUCUGACAUCAUAAGGAGCCGAGAAAACAGCCUUCCAGCACUGAGAGCAGUCCUUCUGGACGAAGGGGUAAAUCACUGUUGAAUGGAUUUCCUUUCAGGAUUUUGAAAAUAGAUGCUGAGAUUUCUCUGUAGAUGCCCCUAUGCAGGUGAUACCAGAUAACCCUCUAGAUGCCCCAGAAAGCCAUGGUCUUGUUGCCUGCCUGCAGUGAAAUGGCUGAAAUGACAUAAUCCACACAGCUGUUAUAAGCCCCCAGUGCCCUCCACAAUGUCACCCACAUAGAUCUGAAUAUCACUUCUACCUAUAAAAAGCUGCAGUUAAAGCUGGGCAGGUGAUAGAAAUGAUUCUUGGAACCAUUAAGUAGGUUCUUUCUCUGGAGCCAGUUGGAUAUUAAUAACUUUCUUGAGCUGGAGUGUCAAAGGAUCGUUCCAUCUCGAAAUUUAUUUGGUAAACAUGUCCCGGGAGAAGGAGAGGAAAGAUGAUUUUCGCAUUUCAAAUGAAAGCCGGGCUCCUGCUGCCCCAGACAAACGUCAGCUGGUGGAAGCUUUGUUAAAAGAGGCUGGAAAGAUCAGCUAUCCCUGCGCGCACACACACAUGCACGCACACAACUCACUUAAAGCAUUAGAAAAAAAUCAAUCUAAAAUCACCCAGCAGAAUUCACAUCACGACCCAGGGAAGCACCUUUUCAGAAGAUGGGAAUCAGAUUUUGACAGUUCAGAUCUCCGAUACCAAGAAGCAAAGAAAUCCCUUUUCUAUCUGACAUGGUCUCUACCUCUCAGUGACGGCUGGGGCCACGGUAGCAGGGCAGAAAGCCAGGGGACCAACAGUGGCCAUUAUCUCAGUAUAAUCAGCACAAAAAUGUUGCUCAACCCAUUACCAGUGAUCUCAUUCUAAUUUUACAUUUGAUUUUGCUGCUGCUUCCUCCAAUGCCAGAACUGCUGCUGCUGCUUCAGCAAAAGCCAAAGGGACGGAUCAAGGUGAAACAUCUUGCAGGCCCCCUACCCAUGCUCUCCCAGAGAGUCAAUCAUUCUGCUGGCAUGGUUCAUCUCCACCUCUGCCCAGUCUCUUUGAGAGAGUUCAUUGCAUGGUUUACCUUGAUGAGCAGUGAGAGGGAAGUGGACAAAAAGUUGUUUUAGUCAUACAAGGGGAAAUUCUCGGACCCAUUCAAAGCUGCCUUGACUUCUAUACCUGUAGGAUCUGGAAUGGCUCGAUGUCUCAGAUGCCGGCAGGUCAAAUAAAGUAGCGUCUCUGGGGUUAGUUUAAAAUGACUUGUACCCGGUUUUGAUUCACAGAUGAUCAAUUCUGCUCUGUAACAGAGGAGCAUAUUUGGGAACUGUGUAAACAAAUAUGUUUAGCUGAGCUGUGGAUAACCUAAAGUGACACAUUUAUUUAAAAUUUUGCCUACUA